UGGCUUACGAAAAACGCAACGAAUAUACGCCUCCAGUGUUCAGCUUCACCGACAACGCAACCCUAAGUGCAAGCCGUGACAACCAGGGCGCUUCUUCUUCGGCCGCCUACCUAACCAUUUCUGACGACGUCUGGCAUUACCAGUUGAACACACAGCACAGGCCAGUAAUCGAUGGGACUUACAAAGUCGACGGUGCCACUGGCAAUGCAAGCACUAGUUACCUGCUUCUGAGCUCCAGCAACAGUAUCGAUCAUGAAAGGCCCAGCACAAGCCGCGCCAGCACGGAGGAAUCGACAGCCAUUUUAGAAGACGGCGCCACGAUUUCUGACCCUGCCUGGCGCUACCAAUGGAACAAGCGGCGUAGGCCAAUAACCUACGGUACUCCGUGCUCCGGGGGCAGCUGUUGAAGACGGCGGCUUGCUCGAUGGUCCGGAACUACGUUGGUGCUCUC